rnacentral:rRNA from 1 species
AGUGCCGAGUUAAAGGAAGCACAAUGCUCUUCUUUUACUUCUAAAUCCGCCUUUGGACUAGGUUUCAUAUAUAGUCUUUCGUUUAGUCUAUGAUAGACAGUGUAGCCCAUCUCUUUCCACUUCAUAGGCUGCACCUUGACCUGACGUGUUGGUGUAAUAACAUUAAGCUCACUAAUUAACACUCAUGAGGUAAGCUGACGACGGAGGUAUACAGGCUGAUUAACUAGAAAUGGUGAGGUAGAACGGGGGUUAUCGAUUAUAGGACAGGCUCCUCUAGAUGGAUUUGGGGUACCGUCAAGUCCCUUGGGUUUUAAGCU